rnacentral:tRNA from 1 species
UCCCUGGUGGCUCAGACGGUAAAGCGUCUGCCUACAAUGCAGGAGACCCAGGUUCGAUCCCUGGGCUGGGAA